CCUACGGGAGGCAGCAGUGAGGAAUAUUGGUCAAUGGGCGCGAGCCUGAACCAGCCAAGUAGCGUGAAGGAUGAAUGCCCUACGGGUUGUAAACUUCUUUUAUAAAGGAAUAAAAUGUUCCACGUGUGGGUUUUUGUAUGUACCAUAUGAAUAAGGAUCGGCUAACUCCGUGCCAGCAGCCGCGGUAAGACGGAGGAUCCGAGCGUUAUCCGGAUUUAUUGGGUUUAAAGGGAGCGCAGGUGGUUUGGUAAGUCAGUUGUGAAAGUUUGCGGCUCAACCGUAAAAUUGCAGUUGAAACUGGCAGUCUUGAGUACAGUAGAGGUGGGCGGAAUUCGUGGUGUAGCGGUGAAAUGCUUAGAUAUCACGAAGAACUCCGAUUGCGAAGGCAGCUCACUGGACUGAAACUGACACUGAGGCUCGAAAGUGUGGGUAUCAAACAGGAUUAGAUACCCUAGUAGUC
rnacentral:rRNA from 1 species